rnacentral:rRNA from 1 species
GACGGACGCUGGCGGCGUGCUUAACACAUGCAAGUCGAACGGUGAAGCGCCUUCCUUUUUGGUGGGUGUGGAUGAGUGGCGAACGGGUGAGUAACACGUGAGUAACCUGCCCCCUUCUUCUGGAUAACCGCAUGAAAGUGUGGCUAAUACGGGAUAUUCUGGGUCUGUCGCAUGAUGGGUCUGGGAAAGAUAUUGUUUCGGUGGGGGAUGGGCUCGCGGCCUAUCAGCUUGUUGGUGGGGUGAUGGCCUACCAAGGCGGUGACGGGUAGCCGGCCUGAGAGGGUGGACGGUCACACUGGGACUGAGACACGGCCCAGACUCCUACGGGAGGCAGCAGUGGGGAAUAUUGCACAAUGGGCGCAAGCCUGAUGCAGCGACGCCGCGUGAGGGAUGGAGGCCUUCGGGUUGUGAACCUCUUUCGCCAGUGAAGCAGGCCUGCCUCGUUUGUGGGUGGGUUGACGGUAGCUGGAUAAGAAGCGCCGGCUAACUACGUG